rnacentral:lncRNA from 1 species
UGAGGGCAACUUUACAGAUCAAAGGGUAAAUCCCAAUGAUGCUGUGAUUAAAUUCCUUCUUUAAAAGUUAUCUUAAGGAUAACCUAGAUAGAGAAGCUAGGGAAAUAGGGAACCAUUCAAAUCAAAUUCAUAAGAUAGGAGCACAGAAUAGUAUACAUUUCAAUGGACAGCCUUUUCUUUCAGGACUUCUGAAUGCUAAUAAAAAUGACAUAAAUGUGGAUUUGGAGCUGUCAAAUACAUUUACGGCCAGCACUAUUAAGCUGGUGAGUAAAUCCCUGAAUUAAUUUGCAAAAUACAGCACAUUUAAUGCCUUUUCCUGGAUCCUAGCUUUCAUUAGAUUUUCAUGAGUCUAAAAAAGGUCAACACCUACUAAUUAAAGACUUUAUUUAGAUUAGAUCUUUACAGACAAAAAUACUACUGCAAAUUCUAAAAAAUAUCUCCGUGGCUCAUGCCUAAAACAUUGCUCUGUCUGGCAGGUGACAAAGUGCCAAAACCUCAGAAAUGAUCACUAAGUGCCAGUCUACCAAGAGACAGAGCUCAAAAGACCAAAGAUCGUCUUAUUUCAUGAAAGGCCUUUUGGACUUGGUCUCUUCCAAGAUUCAGUAAAUAUU